rnacentral:tRNA from 1 species
GCUGGGGUGGCAGAGUAGCAAUUGCACUUGGCUGUAGACCAAGCGUUCGCAAGAACUCCGGGGGUGCAAUUCCCUCCCCCAGCACCA